UCCCUGGUGGCUUAGGGGGUUAAGGAUCCAGCAUUGUCACUGCUGUGGCUCAGGUUCAAUCCCUGGCCCAGGAA
rnacentral:tRNA from 1 species